GGAGGGGAGCUAGCGUUGUUCGGAAUUACUGGGCGUAAAGGGCGCGUAGGCGGGCCGAGUAAGUCGCGUGUGAAAAGGGCCGGGGGCUCAACCCCGAGCACUGCACGUGAUACUGCCCCCGGCUAGAGAAAGGUAGAGGCGAGCGGAAUUCCCGGUGUAGCGGUGGAAUGCGUAGAUAUCGGGAAGAACACCUGUGGCGAAGGCGGCUCGCUGGGCCUUGUCUGACGCUGAAGCGCGAAAGCGUGGGGAGCAAACAGGAUUAGAUACCCUGGUAGUCCACGCCGUAAACGAUGGGUACUAGGUGUUGGGAGGCUUGGCCCUCUCAGUGUCGUCGCUAACGCAUUAAGUACCCCGCCUGGGGAGUACGGUCGCAAGGCUG
rnacentral:rRNA from 1 species